AGAGCGGAUCACAGAUCUAGGAAGAAUGCAGGAUAAGAGGCAGUUCCCUUCUCUCAGUAGAAAAGCCCAAGGGAGUUGGGAGUGGAGAGGGCAGGGAGGAGGCAGGAAGAUCCUCUGGCUCUUGCAUCGGGCCCAGAAUCUGAGGUGGGGUGCGGUACAUACAGUUUCAAGGGAACAUGAGAAUGUUCUGGAACUCUGUUCUCCUGGGGGUAGCUGGGAGAUUUGCCGGCCUUCCGGAGAAGUAUGGGGUUGAGCCUGUGUUCCACCUGCGUGAUAAAAUAGUGGAGAAGGCUGUUUAAACAAGGACAGCUAAGACAAUUCCUGGGACACUCCUUGUGAGUUUGAAUGGUGCAAAAUCUUUAUGAAUGCAUCUUUUGCAUUAAAGACAAUCAUUUUCAACGAUCAUCAAGAAAGUCUAUUUAUUCGGGCAUUUUAUACUUCUAAAAACCCAUAUUGGCCCCUAGGGAUAAAUGCAUUUUAACAAAUUUACUCCCAAACCACAUGCUUACUAGUAAGUUUAAGAAAUUUGUCAAAAACAAAUAUUAGGUCAGUAUUCGGUGGAAUGCAAUUUCUACUUGUCCUCAUAAAAAAGGAACAUUUUACCAUUUCAGUCUUCGUGAACUUUUUCUGUUGCUCCAAGUACCAGAAAAUGAAUGAUUACCUGGAUGCUCCAAAGACAAAUAAUAUUCUAAAAAUGUAUGAA
rnacentral:lncRNA from 10 species